CCAGUAACGGCGAGUGAAAAGGGAAAAGUCCAUCGCUAAAUCGUUUUGCCUCAGGCAUUAUGAGGUGUAGCGUAUAAGUCGUAAACUUUGAUCUUUUGUCUCAAACAAGUCCCCUUGACAGAGGUUCCACAGAAGGUGCAAGUCCUGUACGUUGAGAUAAUUGAUCGAUAUUUGCGUGCUUUAGAGUCGGGUUGUUUGGGAUCGCAGCCCAAAGUCGGUGGUAAACUUCAUCUAAGACUUAAUAUUGCCACGAGACCGAUAGCAAACAAGUACUGUGAAGGAAAGUUGCAAAGCACUUUGAAGAGAGAGUUAAAGAGGACGUGAAACCGGUAAGGUGGAAACGGAUAGAGUCGGCGUAUCAUUCAAUUAUUCAGUUACAUUAUUUUUAUGUUGUGACCUCUGAGCUCCAGAUUGGGACAGAGGGAAUCAGCAUAAUUUUUUGUGGUGCAUUUACUUGAUUGGUGCUUGGGGAUGUUUGAGGCAGAUUUGUUUCCGUCGUUUUGAGGCCAGCUUGCUGGUACCCAAACGGUGUUAGCAUUUUUUGUCUUGGGCAUUUGAGUAUGGCUCACGUGUAUUUAUUGGACAGAUCUGAGUGUAAGUUACGGUCGCAUGCGACACGUGCUUUUCAAUUAGUUCGGUCCAGUUAAUGCUCUCGUACUCGUUCCCCAUGUAAAAGCCGGUCAUCUAUCCGACCCGUCUUGAAACACGGACCAAGGAGUUUAUCGUGUGCGCAAGUUUUUGGGUGUUAAAAACUUAAAAGCGAAAUGAAAGUAAAUGACUCUUUAGAGUCUGAUGUGCGAUCUUGUAAAAAAGUGCAGCAUGGCCCCAUUCUAACUGUUUACAGUAGGGUGGCGGAAGAGCGUACGCGGUGAGACCCGAAAGAUGGUGAACUAUUCCUGAGCAGGACGAAGCCAGAGGAAACUCUGGUGGAAGUCCGAAGC
rnacentral:rRNA from 1 species